rnacentral:siRNA from 1 species
AGCCGAUGUGUGGAUCAACGCCGC